rnacentral:rRNA from 1 species
GACAUAGGUGGCGAACGUUAUCCGGAUUUAUUGGGCGUAAAGGAUGCGUAGAUGGUGGAAUAAGUUAUUGGUCGAGGUCAAGCUCAACUUGGCGGAAGCUAAUAAUACUGUUCUACUUGAGGACAGGAGAGGUUAGCGGAAUUCUGUGUGGAGCGGUGAAAUGCGUUGAUCUACAGAGGAACACCAAAAAGGGCGAAGGCAGCCAACUAUUCUGAUCCUGACAUUGAGGCAUGAAAGCGUGGGGAGCAAACCGG